rnacentral:rRNA from 1 species
CACGUAGGGCGCAAGCGUUGUCCGGAAUUAUUGGGCGUAAAGGGCUCGUAGGCGGUUUGUCACGUCGGGCGUGAAAACUCAGGGCUCAACCCUGAGCGUGCGUUCGAUACGGGCAGACUAGAGGUAUGCAGGGGAGAACGGAAUUCCUGGUGUAGCGGUGGAAUGCGCAGAUAUCAGGAGGAACACCGGUGGCGAAGGCGGUUCUCUGGGCAUUACCUGACGCUGAGGAGCGAAAGCAUGGGGAGCGAACAGG